UACGUAGGGUGCGAGCGUUAAUCGGAAUUACUGGGCGUAAAGCGUGCGCAGGCGGUGAUGUAAGACCGAUGUGAAAUCCCCGGGCUUAACCUGGGAACUGCAUUGGUGACUGCAUUGCUGGAGUAUGGCAGAGGGGGGUGGAAUUCCACGUGUAGCAGUGAAAUGCGUAGAGAUGUGGAGGAACACCGAUGGCGAAGGCAGCCCCCUGGGCCAAUACUGACGCUGAGGCGCGAAAGCGUGGGGAGCAAACAGG
rnacentral:rRNA from 1 species